rnacentral:rRNA from 1 species
AGAGUUUGAUCCUGGCUCAGAAUCAACGCUGGCGGCGUGCCUAACACAUGCAAGUCGAACGAGAAAGUGGAGCAAUCCAUGAGUAAAGUGGCGCACGGGUGAGUAACACGUGACUAACCUACCCUUGAGUGGGGGAUAACCUAGGGAAACCUGGGCUAAUACCGCAUAAUACCUACGGGUCAAAGGAGCAAUUCGCUUAAGGAGGGGGUCGCGGCCGAUUAGUUAGUUGGCGGGGUAAUGGCCCACCAAGACAGUGAUCGGUAUCCGGCCUGAGAGGGCGCACGGACACACUGGAACUGAAACACGGUCCAGACUCCUACGGGAGGCAGCAGUGGGGAAUUUUGCGCAAUGGGGGAAACCCUGACGCAGCAACGCCGCGUGGAGGAUGAAGUCUCUUGGGACGUAAACUCCUUUCGAUCGGGACGAUAAUGACGGUACCGAGAGAAGAAGCCCCGGCUAACUUCGUGCCAGCAGCCGCGGUAAUACGAGGGGGGCGAGCGUUGUUCGGAAUUAUUGGGCGUAAAGGGUGCGUAGGCGGUUCGGUAAGUCUUGUGUGAAAUCUUCGGGCUCAACUCGAAGUCUGCACUAGAAACUGCCGGGCUUGAGUGUGGGAGAGGUGAGUGGAAUUUCCGGUGUAGCGGUGAAAUGCGUAGAUAUCGGAAGGAACACCUGUGGCGAAAGCGGCUCACUGGACCACAACUGACGCUGAGGCACGAAAGCUAGGGGAGCAAACAGGAUUAGAUACCCUAGUAGUCC